UUAAGGCUCUUUCUCCCUCUCAAGGUUUGAAACCCUAGCACCGCCCCCACCCUCUCUCCUCUCUCAUACGUCACCGUUGCCUGAAAUGGCAAAUUUUCAGGUGUACGUAGCCUUUUUCAGCCUUAGCGUGGUCAUUUUGGGUAAGCAUUUAAUGCUAACCGCAUCUCUCCACCAAUCUGUCAACCAAACAAGUAUUUGGGGUUGAGGAAGUAAGGAUCUUCCAAGUUCAAUCUCGACAGUUGGCUGCACUCACAAAAGGUAAAUUUCCUUCCUUUUAGUCAUUUUUGGGUCUUAUUUGUUGUUUUCUUGCAGUGCUUUAAGUUUCUUUGUUUAGUUUAAUUAUUUGCCAUUAGUAAUUUUAAGCAUGCUUAGAGUAUAUUUGGUUGCCAUUCUAGUUUUAAAAAUGUUAUAAUAGCCUAAUGUAGUUCUGCAUGCUUAUUUAUGUUUUAGUUAAACUCCUGUAGUUAUGUUAGGAUAGGGUAAUUGUUGUAUGCCUAUUUAGAUGGUUAGUCUUCUAAUUGGUAGUGGUUUGAGCAUGAUUAAUAGACAUUUAGUUUGCUGUUAGUUAGUUCCUUUGUUGCUUAUAGUCUAAGUAUGAUUAAGAUGUUAUGGUUGUUUCUAGUUGAUUAGUAGUUAUGUUUUAGUGUAAUUCAGCAUAUUUGUUAAUUACAUUAUAGGCUGAUUGCUUUUUAAUAGUUCAGCAUGUUUAGAGUGUCUCUGUUCAGUACUUAAUUAGUAAUAGUUUAUGUAAUCCAUGCCUUUCACUCAUUAUUGAAACCUGUCUAAACUAAGUAGGAUUAGUGCCACUCUUAUUGAUCAAAUCAUGUUGCUGAUAACAUCUUAAGUGGUUCUGUUUGGGUUCUGUGUUCUAUGAAGAUCUGUUCAGCCCCUUUGUUUAUCUAUUUGGUUUAUUGUUAAUGUGCCUUUUUAGAUGUCCAUCUGUUGCAUGAAGUCCACUAUUAGCUUAGCUUAAGCUCAUCCCAUCUAAAACAUGUGUCAAAACUUACCUGUGUGCAUUAUCUUGUCAACUUGUGUCUUAUUGAUUGAACCCCUAGACAGGAGUCCACACCUAAGUGUAGUACCAGUUGAUUAAAAUGGCAUGAGUAUUAACUUAGAGUAACAAGGUUUGUUUGCUUUAGCUUAACAGGAUAUCACUAGGGUCACUAUGCUAAUUUAUAAAUAAAAAAUGGUAAGUCUGAAAUCAGUAUAAGUUACUUGGUUCAUUCAGUCUCUAACAUGAUAGAGAAGGAGAAGGAUCAAAUGGCUUAGAGGAGUCUAAAUAGGACUCCAACAAAGCCUGAAUGCAGCCUCAAUCAACCUGUGAAUGUAUAGUGUCCUUGAAUGCAAGUCUGUGCUGUUUAAACAUGGUCAGAAGGCUGUCAUAUUGCAACUGGUAUGAGUUUAAGUUCAUUAAGUAACUAUGCUUAGUCUAAAAAGGGGAUAAAUGCACCUGUAGCACACAUAUAGGAGAAUUAAAUGGGUUGUUAACUUUAAGUAAGUGAAAUUCUGUCAUUUGCCUUAUGAUUGGUUCACAGAAGAGAACAUUUUUAUCCUUGUGGAUUGGCUUGAAUUGAGCUUGUUGCCUGGUUUUCUUGAAUCGAGCCUCUUGCCUGGUUGUCUUGAAUCCUACAUAUCAUCUUGAGUUGAAUCAAAUAUUUAACUUCCAUGCUAUGUAAUAUAGAUUUCUGCAUGUUAACUAGUGAACUCAAUCCAUGUCCCUAUGUUAGUUAAUUGUAAGAAGUAUUACAUGUAUGAGAGUCCUAAGGUAAUGUGUCAAGCCUGGUAUAGAUAUCUUAAGUUUCUAUGUUGAUUGCUUAAGGCUAAAAAUGUCUAGCUGCAUAUUGGUACUCCUCUGCUUCCCUGCAUCUGAGCUUGUUUCUCUUUUCUGCAUUUUACAUGUUUGUCUCAUAAGCAUCACAUGAACUGGCAAUGCAUAUUCUUCCUUCAGAAGUACAGUUUGAACCUAAGAAGUGUUGGUAUAUGUUAGUGUCUUAUGAAAAAACAUACUUGCUUUGUUUUCUUGUGAUCAUAUAAGGCUGUCAUUAAAAGUAAAAUCAUCUGAUAUACAUGUCUAUGUGCUAGAAAAACAUCCUGUCAAAUACUUAUGCAUGUGACUGUUUUCUUAUGUGAUGCUGCAUCUUUCUCUUUCCUUUGGGAGUCAGUGGACACUUAUUUGUAUGAUUAUUUUUUUCACCUGAAAAGUUUAAAGUUCUUUGGGGUUUCCCCUAUAUGGAAUUCAUAUACCAUGGGAUCCUCUAAGGCUAAGUACAGAGGAUAUACCUAAAUAUUCUAGGUAUAUACAGUUUCCAUAUACCUUUGGUAUAUAGGAGCUUUUAUAUUUAGUAUAUACAUAUGGUAUAUCACCUAUGGGAAUUCAGGAUUGCUGUUUUGUGCUCUGUAAUAGUCUUGGCUUGGGCCUGGUCUUUGUUUGUCUGUUUCUUUCUAUUUGGGCCUGCCUUCCACAUUAUGAUUAGCUUUUAGUUGGGCCAUGUUUGCUUGUUAUUCUAUACAUGGGCUUUGUCUGUUCUCUGUUCUUUUUUCUUAUGCUUAUAACUUGGCUGAAUAUCCCUCUGCAUAUGAUCAUUGCCUUAACAUAUAUGUGUUGUUCUUGCAUUUUUGUUUGAAUAAUUAGUGUGCAAGUAUAAUUAGUCUAUGUAAGUAAGUAGUUAAGUUCUAGAUGCCCUCUAACCAAUAUUUUUCGUUUCCCUCUUCGUGUUGCAUGUAAAAAAAACGUCGCGGUCAUUUGGGCCGUCUUCUCUCAUUUAAACUUAUUGGGCCAGAGGCCCAACCCUUAUUACUUGAUCGAGUUCGAUGAAAGGGAAGCUAAUAUUUGCAUUGAAGGCCCACCUAUGGGUGAAAAUAGGCAGCUGGUGGGCUUAGGUUGGCCCAUCAGCCCAACAUUUUCUUUUUUAUUUCAUUCAUAUAAGUGUAUGUGUUUGUAAAAAAGAUAUUCGUAUAAUAUUGAAACCCUUGUGAAUGUUAGAACUUAGGAAAACUUUAGUAUUAUUAGGAAGUCGCCCAAAUGAUU